rnacentral:rRNA from 1 species
CGCUGGCGGCACGCCUAACACAUGCAAGUCGAGCGCUCUAACCACUUCGGUGGGGACGGGAGCGGCGGACGGGUUAGUAACGCGUGGGAACAUACCCUUUUCUACGGAAUAGCCUCGGGAAACUGAGAGUAAUACYGUAUACGCCCUUUCGGGGGAAAGAUUUAUCGGUUAAGGAUUGGCCCGCGUUAGAUUAGUUAGUUGGUGGGGUAACGGCCUACCAAGACGACGAUCUAUAGCUGGUUUGAGAGGAUGAUCAGCAACACUGGGACUGAGACACGGCCCAGACUCCUACGGGAGGCAGCAGUGGGGAAUCUUAGACAAUGGGCGCAAGCCUGAUCUAGCGAUGCCGCGUGAGUGAAGAAGGCCUUAGGGUCGUAAAGCUCUUUCGCCUGUGAUGAUAAUGACAGUAGCAGGUAAAGAAACCCCGGCUAACUCCGUGCCAGCAGCCGCGGUAAUACGGAGGGGGUUAGCGUUGUUCGGAAUUACUGGGCGUAAAGCGUACGUAGGCGGAUUAGUAAGUGAGGGGUGAAAUCCCAGGGCUCAACCCUGGAACUGCCUCUCAUACUGCUAGUCUUGAGAUCGAGAGAGGUGAGUGGAAUUCCGAGUGUAGAGGUGAAAUUCGUAGAUAUUCGGAGGAACAUCAGUGGCGAAGGCGGCUCACUGGCUCGAUACUGACGCUGAGGUACGAAAGUGUGGGGAGCAAACAGGAUUAGAUACCCUGGUAGUCCACACCGUAAACGAUGAAUGCCAGACGUCGGGUAGCUUGCUAUUCGGUGUCACACCUAACGGAUUAAGCAUUCCGCCUGGGGAGUACGGUCGCAAGA